AACCUUACCAAGGUUUGACAUCCCUCGCAAAGCUAUAGAAAUAUAGUAGAGGUUAUCGAGGUGACAGGUGGUGCAUGGCUGUCGUCAGCCCGUGUCUUGAGAUGUUUGGUUAAGUCCCGCAACGAGCGCAACCCCACUCUUUAGUUACUUGUCUAAAGAGACUGCACAGUAAUGUAGAGGAAGGAUGGGAUCACGUCAAGUCAUCAUGCCCCUUAUGCCUUGGGCUGCAAACGUGCUACAAUGGCGAACACAAUGUGUUGCAAACCAGCGAUGGUAAGCUAAUCACCAAAUUUCGUCUCAGUUCGGAUAGGAGGCUGCAAUUCGCCUCC
rnacentral:rRNA from 1 species